AAAAGAAACUAACAAGGAUUCCCCUAGUAACUGCGAGUGAAGCGGGAAAAGCUCAAAUUUAAAAUCUGGCAGUCUAUGGCUGUCCGAGUUGUAAUCUAGAGAAGUGAUGCCCGCGCUGGACCGUGUACAAGUCUCCUGGAAUGGAGCGUCAUAGAGGGUGAGAAUCCCGUCUCUGACACGGACUACCAGGGCUUUGUGGUAUGCUCUCAAAGAGUCGAGUUGUUUGGGAAUGCAGCUCUAAAUGGGUGGUAAAUUCCAUCUAAAGCUAAAUAUUGGCGAGAGACCGAUAGCGAACAAGUACCGUGAGGGAAAGAUGAAAAGAACUUUGGAAAGAGAGUUAAACAGUACGUGAAAUUGCUGAAAGGGAAACGCUUGAAGUCAGUCGCGUUAGCUAGGAAUCAGCCUUGCUUUUGCUUGGUGUACUUUCUGGUUGACGGGUCAGCAUCAAUUUUGAGUGCUGGAAAAAGGCCUUGGGAAUGUGGCAGCUUUGGCUGUGUUAUAGCCCUUGGUCACAUACAGCAGUUGGGAUUGAGGAACUCAGCACGCCGCAAGGCCGGGUUUCGACCACGUUCGUGCUUAGGAUGCUGGCAUAAUGGCUUUAAGCGACCCGUCUUGAAACACGGACCAAGGAGUCUAACAUGCCUGCGAGUGUUUGGGUGGUAAACCCUUGCGCGUAAUGAAAGUGAAAGUUGAGAUCCCUGUCGUGGGGAGCAUCGACGCCCGGACUUGAACUUUUGUGACGGAUCCGCGGUAGAGCAUGUAUGUUGGGACCCGAAAGAUGGUGAACUAUGCCUGAAUAGGGUGAAGCCAGAGGAAACUCUGGUGGAGGCUCGUAGCGAUUCUGACGUGCAAAUCGAUCGUCAAAUUUGGGUAUAGGGGCGAAAGACUAAUCGAACA
rnacentral:rRNA from 1 species